GAAAUGCGAUAAGUAAUGUGAAUUGCAGACUUCAGUGAAUCAUCGAAUCUUUGAACGCACCUUGCGCUCCUUGGUAUUCCUUGGAGCAUGCCUGUUUGAGUAUCAUGAAAUCUUCAAAGUAAAUCUUUUGUUAACUCAAUUGGUUUCUACUUUGGUAUUGGAGGUCUUUGCAGCUUCACACCUGCUCCUCUUUGUUCAUUAGCUGGAUCUCAGUGUUAUGCUUGGUUCCACUCGGCGUGAUAAGUUAUCUAUCGCUGAGGACACUGUAAAAGGUGGCCAAGGUAAAUGCAGAUGAACCGCUUCUAAUAGUCCAUUGACUUGGACAAUACUUUUAUGAUCUGAUCUCAAAUCAGGUAGGACUACCCGCUGAACUUAAGC
rnacentral:misc_RNA from 1 species